rnacentral:rRNA from 1 species
GCUUGUCUCAAAGAUUAAGCCAUGCAUGUCUUAGUGUAAAUAACUCUUAUGAAACUGCGAAUGGCUCAUUAAAUCAGUUAUCAAAUACGUGAUGGUCGCCUACUACAUGGAUAACCGUAGUAAUUCUAGAGCUAAUACAUGCACAAAGGCCCACUCACGUGGGUUGUGAUUAUUAGAUUCAAACCGGCCUCGUUCUGGUGAUUCAUAAUAACUUAGCGAAUCGUGACUCGUUCACGAUAAAUCAUUCAAGUUUCUGCCCUAUCAUGCUUUCGAUGGUAGUGUAUUGGACUACCAUGGCUCUCACGGGUAACGGAGAAUUAGGGUUCGAUUCCGGAGAAGGAGCCUGAGAAACGGCUACUACAUCUAAGGAAGGCAGCAGG